rnacentral:rRNA from 1 species
CGCGAAUGGCUCAUUACAACAGCUAUAAUUUACUUGAUCUUGACACAAUCCUACUUGGAUAACUGUGGUAAUUCUAGAGCUAAUACAUGCAUUAAAGCUCUGACCUCACGGGAAGAGUGCAUUUAUUAGAACAAAACCAAGCGGCUUCGGCUGUUUCUGGUUGACCCAUAGUAACUGAGCUGAUCGCAUGGUCUUGCACCGGCGACGUGUCUUUCAAGUAUCUGCCGUAUCAACUUUCGAUGGUAGUGUAUCUGACUACCAUGGUGAUCACGCGUAACGGAGAAUAAGGGUUCGACUCCGGAGAGUUCGCCUGAGAAAUCGCGAACACAUCUAAGGAAGGCAGCAGGCGCGAAAAUUACCCACUCUCAGCACGAGGAGGUAGUGACGAAAAAUAACGAGACCGUUCUCUUUCGAGGCCGGUCAUCGGAAUGGGUACAAUUUAAACCCUUUAACGAGUAUCUAUGAGAGGGCAAGUCUGGUGCCAGCAGCCGCGGUAAUUCCAGCU